UAGAAAAUGGUGUAAUGGAGGCACUGAGAGUUUUGAAUUCUUAAGGGAGGGUUCGAACCCCUUUUUUCUAA
rnacentral:tRNA from 1 species